rnacentral:lncRNA from 1 species
CACCGCCCUCCGAUCCGUGAACGCCUACCUCUCCUCCCUCUUCGCAUCAACCUCCCUCUGUCCCCUACUCCCCUCCAGCUGCGAGAUCACCAACGCCUUCCACUUCGUCCUCGCUACGGGCCAUAGGAAAUAAUUUCUCCAUUCCCUAGCCCUAGGUCAAAGUAAGUUGGUCCUAUAGCCAGUGGCCGAACAGCCUUUUUUUUUUCCUUCCUUUCUUCUUCUUCCCUUUUGUUUUUUUUAACGGCUUUCUACUUCUUCCUCUCUUUUUUUUUAACGGUCAGCGCCAUUCCCCCAGGACCCCAGAAAGCUUCUAAAACAUCAAACACGGAGGGAGGGAGGAGAGAG